UACGUAGGGGGGCUAGCGUUGUCCGGAUUUAUUGGGCGUAAAGAGCGUGUAGGCGGCCAGGUAGGUCUGGUGUGAAAACUCGAGGCUUAACCUCGAGAUGUCAUCGGAAACCAUCUGGCUAGAGUCCGGAAGAGGAGAGUGGAAUUCCUGGUGUAGCGGUGAAAUGCGUAGAUAUCGGGAGGAAUACCAGUGGCGAAGGCGGCCUUCUGGACGGAUACUGACGCUGAGGCGCGAAAGCCAGGGGAGCAAACGGG
rnacentral:rRNA from 1 species